CUUCAGGUGCCGGCUUCUGCCGGAGAAUAGGGAAACGGGUGUGAUUCCCGUGCGGUCCCGCCGCUGUAAGGGGAUAGUAACGGUGCAGAUUUUGCCACUGGGAAACCGGGAAGGCGUUGUGCCAGAUGCGAUGAUCCCCAAGCCAGAAUACCUGCCUGCUGCAUUA
rnacentral:ncRNA from 1 species